UACAGAGGUCUCAAGCGUUGUUCGGAUUCAUUGGGCGUAAAGGGUGCGUAGGUGGCGCCGUAAGUCGGGUGUGAAAUUUCGGAGCCUAACUCCGAAACCGCAUUCGAUACUGCGGUGCUUGAGGACUGGAGAGGAGACUGGAAUUCAUGGUGUAGCAGUGAAAUGCGUAGAGAUCAUGAGGAAGACCAGUGGCGAAGGCGGGUCUCUGGACAGUUCCUGACACUGAGGCACGAAGGCCAGGGGAGCAAACGGG
rnacentral:rRNA from 1 species